CUCUCUCUCUCUCUCUCUCUCUCUCUCUCUCUUACGGAUUCUCUUAUCCAUUAACCAAAGACACCCAUAUACCAAGCAACUAGAGAGAGAGAGAGAGAGAGAGAGAGAGAG
rnacentral:miRNA from 1 species